AUGCAGUCGGACGAUGAAGCCCAUUCGGGGUGGAUUAGUGGCGAACGGGUGAGUUAUAAGAGAGCAACCUGCCCUUGACUCUGGGAUAAGCCUGGGAAACUGGGUCUAAUACCGGAUAGGACCCCUUGCCGCAUGGUGGGGGGUGGAAAGCCUUGUGCGGUCUUGGAUGGGCUCGCGGCCUAUCAGCUUGUUGGUGGGGUGAUGGCCUACCAAGGCGACGACGGGUAGCCGGCCUGAGAGGGUGACCGGCCACACUGGGACUGAGACACGGCCCAGACUCCUACGGGAGGCAGCAGUGGGGAAUAUUGCACAAUGGGCGGAAGCCUGAUGCAGCGACGCCGCGUGGGGGAUGACGGCCUUCGGGUUGUAAACCCCUUUCGGCAGGGAACAAGCCCCUUGGGGUGAGGGUACCUGCGGAAGAAGCGCCGGCUAACUACGUGCCAGCAGCCGCGGUAAUACGUAGGGCGCGAGCGUUAUCCGGAAUUAUUGGGCGUAAAGAGCUCGUAGGCGGUUUGUCGCGUCUGCUGUGAAAGCCCGGGGCUCAACCCCGGGUCUGCAGUGGGUACGGGCAGGCUGGAGUGCAGUAGGGGAGACUGGAAUUCCUGGUGUAGCGGUGAAAUGCGCAGAUAUCAGGAGGACACCGAUGGCGAAGGCAGGUCUCUGGCUGUACUGACGCUGAGGAGCGAAAGCAUGGGGAGCGAACAGGAUAGAUACUCUGGUA
rnacentral:rRNA from 1 species